rnacentral:rRNA from 1 species
CCUACGGGGGGCAGCAGUGGGGAAUAUUGCACAAUGGGCGCAAGCCUGAUGCAGCCAUGCCGCGUGUGUGAAGAAGGCCUUCGGGUUGUAAAGCACUUUCAGCGGGGAGGAAGGCGGUGAGGUUAAUAACCUCAUCGAUUGACGUGACCCGCAGAAGAAGCACCGGCUGACCCCGUGCCAGCAGCCGCGGUAAUACGGAGGGUGCAAGCGUUAAUCGGAAUUACUGGGCGUAAAGCGCACGCAGGCGGUCUGUCAAGUCGGAUGUGAAAUCCCCGGGCUCAACCUGGGAACUGCAUUCGAAACUGGCAGGCUAGAGUCUUGUAGAGGGGGGUAGAAUUCCAGGUGUAGCGGUGAAAUGCGUAGAGAUCUGGAGGAAUACCGGUGGCGAAGGCGGCCCCCUGGACAAAGACUGACGCUCAGGUGCGAAAGCGUGGGGAGCAAACAGGAUUAGAUACCCCUGUAGUC